rnacentral:lncRNA from 1 species
UAUCGCGAUGACAACAUGGAUCAAGAGCAAACACAGGGAUGAGAUAAACAUACCUCCUCCGAUCAAAAAACUUCCUUAGCACUAAAAGAAGCAGUCACUCGCUUAAAACCAAAAAUUUGUAUCUGUGAGGGAAGGUUUGAAUUAAGGCGGUCAACAAAGCCAGGCGGAUCAAUAUAGAAUCGGCCCGAAACAACCUGACCAACAGCACUAACUCCUUUAUCAGUUCUAGCUGACCGAGCCCAGUCAUACCGUUUAGAAAGUCCACGAUCCUGUUCAGGUACAGCUCCAGAAACAUACAAAGCUUCUUCUAGUUCACCUUCAAUAGUCUUUGCACCAGGGUUUUUCUGCAUACCCUGAUAACCAACACCGCAGUAAGCAAAGAAAAUAGCUACCUUACGGCGCUUGUAUCUUACCUUACUUCCUUCAGCAGUUGUACAUCCUUCAUCAUCAGAAGUAGUGGUAGACAUCUUCACCUUCUUGGUCGCUGGCUCUUCCGCGACAGCUGAAGGUAACGCUGGAGAUGAUGAAAUUGACGGAGUUUUAUCUGAGUUUUCCAUUAUUUAUAAGCGAUAAGAAUCCGAUGCCACAAACCUAAACGAUAGCUAGAUAUAUUAAUACAAAUAAAAACAGAUCCUAAGUUACACUAUAGAUUCUUUAACAAUAUUCUAGUUACAUAUAAUAUAACUACAGAUGCAAUUUCCAUUUCAUCAAUCAAAUCUUAGGGUCUCUUUGGGAGGGGAGGACUUCGAAAGGCUAAGUCUAUAUUUUAAAACAUAUUAGAUAUUUUUUAAAAAUUGAAACAUGAUAAAUGAUCACAUAGUACUUCAAUCACACUUAAUUUAAAAUUGAAAAGCAAACCCUCCCCUCCAAAACUCUCCAAUGUUAUCCCUUAGUGCCAAAUAAGCUAAAAAUGAUAUAUAUUUUUUGGUUUUUUAAUUUGCUAUAUAUGCAUUCAAGGAAGUUAUAAAAUAAGGGAAGAAACUAUAGAAAUCAAUUUAAAUUGUUGAAUUAACAGAGAAUUUAUGAAACUAUAACCACUGUAAGUUUAUAUAUUAUUUAUUUUCAACAAAAAUAAAACAUAAGAGAAUGAAGCAAAGGUAGUUAUUACCAGAAAUAGAUCAGACGAAAGAGAGAACAACAACGUGAGACAAUGGUCGGAACAACCUUAAACCCUCAUUUCAGAAUCACGCACGAUAACAAAAGAAACUGCAUCCAUCCGAGAAAACGAAGUGAGUGUGUUUUUAUUGGGCCCACGAAUUCGUUGGAUACGGGUUUUGGUCAUUUUGCUUUUUUUUUUUUUUAUAUUUUUUUAUUAGGCCUCCAAACAAUUUCUUUUGAUGAUUUCUCAAUCUACCCCCUCAUUUUACUGGAGACAACUUCCUACUUUAGAGAAUAUAGGGAAGUUGAAUUGAGAAGUCAUUAAUUUUUAAGUGUGCAAAGAUAUCAAAAUUCAAUUUUUUAAGUAAAAUUAUUUGGUUGGUUUGUCAAGGGCCACAAAUGUUUCUUGACCUCACUAUAAAAUUUUCAGGUCUCUAAAGGUGAAUGGUAUUGAACUCGGUUAUACUAAAGGUAUGCAAGACAAAGAUAAAAUAGCAUGGGGAUGUAGUCGAGAUAGCAAUUAUUCGGUUAAGUCAGCAUACUAUUUCAUCAUGGACAGAAGCAUAAAUAACUCGCAUCUGUGCAAACCAGGGGAAUGGGAUAAGCUCCGGAAGCUGAAGAUAUCGAAUAAAGUCAAGGUGUUCCUUUGGACAGCUUUAUGCGGUAUGCUGCGAACAAGAUCGAGGUUGAUACAAAAAGAUGUGUUGCAGAUUGCAGAAGAAAUUGUGCUUGCUGCCUAAGAGGAUUGGAAAAUGAGCAGCAUGUGUUUCUUUAAUGUGAUGCAGCAAAGGAAGUAUGGAUGGAAGUAGGAAUAUGGGAGCUAAUUCAGUCUAUAGUGAAAGAAGCUGAAGGUUUCUGGAGGCCAUAAUGCAUAUGCGGUCAAAUUUAUCAAGUGAGCAAAUUGUGUUAUGGCAAAGAGAAUAUGGAGUAUUUGGUGGAAAAGGAAUGGCAUUGUGUGGGAGAAUUGCAGUAGAAGUAGCUUUGAGGUUGCAAGAAGAGCUGUAGAUACAUUACAAGAUUUGAGGGCAGUUCAUGAGAACCACAGUGCAGCCUCAGAUCACAGAAGAUCAGGAGGCAAUAUCAGAUGGCAAAAACCACGAGGAGGCACGCUAAAACGUAACAUACAUGCGGCUCUUUUUCUGACAGGGAAUAAGUUUGGUUACGGAAUACGGACUAUGGCAAGCACUGCGUUGCUACAAUUGUUGAACAAUCAUCAUAUUCAGAUCAAAAUGGAUUGUAUACAGGUUGUGGAAGCUGUCUACAAUAACAAUCAUAACAACAUUGCAGCAGGUGUUAACAAAUAAAGUAUUAUAUACCUUAUCCAUAAAAGAAUACAACAAGUUCAAUUUCAGUCUGCUGAUACCACCUUUGCCAACCUAUAGGAUAAUCACAUACCUCUCAUUGUUACGAGAAUAAGCAAUUAAAUUGAAUUCUUGCUUGUUGAGACUAUUUUGAAGAUCAUUCAGGAGCAAAUCAACUUCUAAGGCAAUUCAUUCCAAGGUUGAAGCCCAUGAAUCAUGUUAAACGCAACAAGAAAAGAUUAAGUGAAAAUGCAAAUACAUAAGGUAAAAAUUUUCAAACUAUAUUCGUGUUCAUCAUCAUUUUACAAAAUGUGUAAAUGAAAAAAGCGUGCCUAAGAUAUUUAGAAACAUCAUAUUAGAAUCAAAUUGGAUAAUAGGAGCACUAUUUAACUAGGUUGUUACUAGAUUAAAAAAAAAAAACUAGGUUGCUACUUAAACUUGAUGGAAAAGAAAGAUGAAUCAAACCCUGACAAUUAAUUGACCUGAGUGAAGGAAGGAGGCAUGAGAAUGAGAGUUGAAUUGCAUAAAUUCAAAAAGAUAUAAAUAUAUGAAGCUUAGGUUUCGUGGGGGGAUAUAUAAAUAUAUGUUUAAUGUUCUAGCUUUGAGGUAUUGAAGAAAUAAAAAAAGAUUUUAAGCAUAUGAAAUUGAAGAGAAAAGAUUAAACAUUCCAAAUAGGUGUGUGUGUGUGUGUGCGCGCAUGGAUGAGUGAAUAGAAAGAUUGUGAGAACAAGUUCUUGAUUGUCAGGGUAGCGCAAAGGGAAGGGGUAAUUGUGAGCGGGUAUCUUUGUUUUGAGUUCUUACAAGUCCCACAUCGACUAAAGCGCAAAUUAAAACUGAGCAGUUCAUAUAUAAAACUAAGCAAUCCAAAGCUUUGUUAUUGCUGUGAAAUAACUUACGGAGCUGUCAAAUACAAAUUUCAUCCCACAAAUAGUAAUGCUCUGCUGUCAAGCUUACGGAGCUGGACAAAUUAUUAUGCUUGGUCUUAAGAUACAAAGCUGGUAUUGCUGGAAGUUUCACUCUUUUAGUAAUUCCACAAAUGUUCUCACUUUGUUUCAAUUUUCAAGCCCAAAAGUUACUUCAGGCUCAAGGUAAGGUUAAUGUCAUUGCAUGGAUUGGGUAUUUCCCCUGCAAGCAUCAUUACUAAUGAACAAAUUGCAACACUCCGUAGAGAAAUGCGAUCUUGUAAACGGAUAUACCACUAAGAAGUUUGGUUGUUUAUGAAAGGAGAAAAGAAUAAUUUGUUUACAAACAACAGAAAACAAUAAUUUGGAAGUAACAGCUAUCAGUAUUUUUCCAUGGAGGAAGCAAUGAUAUAGGUCACAUGACAUCCAUGCUUUACCAUGAAGAAACUUAUUUCAUUACCUACAAAUGCAAUGAUCAAAUGCAAAAAGUAAGAUGGAAGAAAUUGUAUAAGAGACAAAAUAACUGAGAACCGAUAUAAGAGAUGCCAAAUAUUAGAGGACUUUUAAUUUAAGCAAGUACUAUCAGAAGAUGUGUAUUUUCUAAGAGGUUCUAGCUAAUAAUUUUUGUAGAAUGAUCUUGGAAUGAAUAUUUUCUUAGGAGCUAGUAUUGACAUGACCUUGAUGUAGCUGCAUUAUGACUUACGAGUAUGAUGGUAGUGCCAGUAUCUGAUGUCCACUCUGAGAGAUGAUGUUAGGUAAAGGUUUAGCAGGAUUUGCCGAGGGAUGCUUCUUUGGUUCUUCUUAAAAAAAUUCUGGAUAGAUCCAGUUCUUAAUAUGUCAUAUCAUUAUUUGUACUUCUGAUAAAGAAUUGUUUCUUCAGAACACAUCCCAAUUUUGUGCCAAACCUGAGUCAAAGGCUUUCAAUUUGAAGAGAUUUUGCUAUCUCCAAAAGUGAACCCUUUUGGAUGGAAAUUCAGCCUAAUUUGCAUCACUAACCUGAGAUUGUUUGAAAUUCAAACAAGAAACAAAAUGAUCCUCAAAAGAAAGAUACAACAAAUUCAAGCUAAUCGAGUCAAGUUGAGAAUUUUGGAUCGUAAAGCAUUAGAUGAGAUAGAAAAGUAGUAAUUCACCUAAAUCUUGUGAUUUUUGAGGUCAGGGUGAUCAAAAGCUGGUUGGUGUGAACAUGAACACAAUCAACAAUAUAUCCAUCAGGACCCUGCUUUCACAAACCCAAAUGUAAACACACACAAGUUACAACUAGCAAAAAUGAACUAUGUUUAUGAAUGACCCCAAAAAUCUUAAAACAGCUAUAAUUCUCUCAACAAACAAAAAAAGAAUGUAUAGUGGUACUAUAUAUGUAUCUUUGCAUCAAAUCAAUGGUACAAAAAUAGGUAUAUACCAAGUCAGUUCAUAAGAGAUAUCAAGUGAGUGCCUUAUUUGUUAACAAGGAAAUUAGUAUAUACCAUAUCUAUAAAGGAAUACAAGUUCAAUUUCAGUCUGCUAUGCUAAUACCAGAUCAUAAACAAAAAAAAGUGCAAUUCAAUUUCAAAGAAAAAUUAAGUACUCAAAUAAUAGAGGAUAAUCACAGACCACUCGUUGUUUUGAGUAUAAACAAUUAAAAUAUUAAAUUGAAUUGUUUCUUGUUGAGACUAUUUUGAAGAUUAUUCAGGAGCAAAUCAACUUCUAAGGCAAUUCAUUCCAAGGUUGAAGCGCAUGAGUCAUGAUAAACGCAACAACAAAGCUCAAGUAAAAAUGUGAAGACAUAAGGUUAAUUUUUUCGAAAUGUAUUCAUGUUCCUCAUAACUUUACAAAAUGUAUCAAAGAAAAGGUGUGCUUGAGACCUUUGGAAACAUCAAAUUGGAUAAUCGGAGCAUUAUUUAACUAGAUUGCCACCUAAGCUUAAUGGAAAAAGAAAAUACUGCGGUGUUGGUUAUCAGGACACCCUAAACCCUUACUGCGGUGUUGGUUAUCAGGACAUAGUGAACAAAAAGAAAAUUUAAAUAACACAAUGAAGUAAUGAAAAUACUCUUCCAUUUCCCUUUCCUAAGUGUCUCAACAAAAUAAUAGACACGAAAAGGGCCAUGUCCUGCAUAUAAUUGUCUAUGAUGCGUAGCAGUAUAGAUAAGUAUAAUAUGUCUGAAAUGUCAAAGGAAGGCAUAAACCAAUUAAAAAGAAUGAGUUCUACAAUGACCGGCACGAAAAAAGUUUCAUUCGGUUACAACUUCAAUUUCAGUUUUCUUGUCAUUCAUGUCAACUUCAACUUUCUUGUCAUUCGUGACACCUUCCCCGUCAAGGAUGCGCAGAUCUGGAUAGUUUCUAUGGUUCAAAGAAUGCAACCAUAGGCCAACAGUUCCUUCCUUAUAUUCUGUGGAAGCAAUAUGAGGAUAUAUGUACUGCAUUUUGAAAUCCUCAGCCUCCUUCUCAUAUGCUUUCAUUGACACCUCUUCGUGGGUAUCUUUCCACUUCUGGUUAUAUGAAGUAAAGAAGCACUCAUCUAAAUAUAAUCCAACCUCAGGUGCAGUAGGCACAGUGAUGCUAACAUCCCUGCAUUUUGGACGAAAAAAUAAAAAUAAAAAACUAAAUUAGAUGAUUGUCACAAUAUUUCAGAUAUAAAGUUGGAGAUAAACUAUACUAAAUUAGCAGCACUCACUUCUGCAAAGCUUUCUCAAUAAGUGACUCAGGUGCACAAUUUCUCAUGAUUGCCACGGCAAGCCCCAUCAUCUUCCGUAUCUGAUGAAGCAUGAAGCUCUGUCCCACAAUCUCACACUUCACAAAUUCCAUGCCCUCAACUACAACAGUGGUGCUUGCAUCAAAUGAAAUAAUGAAACGUUUUGCAGAAGGAUCCUCGGGUUUUAUUCUGGUCGUGAAGUUAUGGAAGUUAUGAGUUCCAACAUAACACUUCAAAAUAUUGUUAAAUCUUUCCCUCUCCUUCUCACCAUAACAAAAACCACUUCCAUUGGCAGCCGUAUCCUCUCUGUUCACUUUUUCUUCCUCGAGAAUGCCUAAAUUAUUCUCAGAUCCACCAUUUAUGGGAGCAACCUCAUCCUCAUCAGAAACCACAGUUUUAGAAUUUACUUCUUCAACUGAAACCUUACCCUCAUUGUCAUUAAUGGAUUCUUUAUUUAAAUGAUUAUCAUCACCUUUGCUUAAAGAAACCUCCACAUCCUUUGUAACUCCAGAGUCAACCACAUCAUUUUUGUUUGAUGAACCAUUCUCAACAUCCACAGCUUCUAGCUCAAGAUUGCGCUUACUAUUACCAACCACACCUUCCACUUUUCGGCCUCUCUCAGAACACGGCAAACACUUAACAAGCUCAUUUUCAGACCCUAAACUAGCCAACACAGUCUCUCUAUCGCGAUGACAACAUGGAUCAAGAGCAAACACAGGGAUGAGAUAAACAUACCUCCUCCGAUCACAAAACUUCUUAGCACUAAAAGAAGCAGUCACUCGCUUAAAACCAAAAAUUCGUAUCUGUGAGGGAAGGUUUGAAUUAAGGCGGUCAACAAAGCCAGGCGGAUCAAUAUAGAAUCGGCCCGAAACAACCUGACCAACAGCACUAACUCCUUUAUCAGUUCUAGCUGACCGAGCCCAGUCAUACCGUUUAGAAAGUCCACGAUCCUGUUCAGGUACAGCUCCAGAAACAUACAAAGCUUCUUCUAGUUCACCUUCAAUAGUCUUUGCACCAGGGUUUUUCUGCAUACCCUGAUAACCAACACCGCAGUAAGCAAAGAAAAUAGCUACCUUACGGCGCUUGUAUCUUACCUUACUUCCUUCA